UACAAUGAAGAGUUUGAUCCUGGCUCAGGAUGAACGCUAGCGGCAGGCUUAACACAUGCAAGUCGAGGGGCAGCACGAGUAGUAAUAUUUGGUGGCGACCGGCGCACGGGUGAGUAACGCGUAUGUAAUCUACCUUUAACUGGGGCAUAGCUCCGAGAAAUCGGAAUUAAUACCCCAUAAUAUUGAUGAAAGACAUCUUUUAUUUAUUAAAGUUCCAACGGUUAGAGAUGAGCAUGCGUGCCAUUAGCUUGUUGGUAGGGUAACGGCC
rnacentral:rRNA from 1 species